UACGUAGGGGGCAAGCGUUGUCCGGAAUCAUUGGGCGUAAAGAGCGUGUAGGCGGUCCCGUAAGUCCGCUGUGAAAGUCAAGGGCUCAACCCUUGAAUGCCGGUGGAUACUGUGGGACUAGAGUCCGGAAGAGGCGAGUGGAAUUCCUGGUGUAGCGGUGAAAUGCGCAGAUAUCAGGAGGAACACCAGUGGCGAAGGCGGCUUCCUGGCCUGUUCUUGACGCUGAGGCGCGAAAGCUAGGGGAGCAAACGGG
rnacentral:rRNA from 1 species